AUGGUCCUAUGUGGAAAUAAUGUUCCAAUCCAUGACCCUCACACCCCAUAGCCUUACGUGUUCCCAGGAUUUCCCUUUUCACAAAGUUAGAUCUAGGGUUAAUGAGAGACGGUUCAGGAGAGAAGCAUUCGCCGGCCACCGAAUACACAACCCGGCGACUAUCUGGAUAUAUUGAUGAAGUGGGUGUGAGUCCAAAGAAUGAAAUAUUGAUGAAAAUUAUCAGGAGGAUCAACCAAAAGGCUAUAUUCAAACCCUAAUUUCACCAUCCUUCAAAGCUUUAUGGAGAAGAAUCAAAGAAGAACGCAACGAUCCACUCAUCUCCACUUCAUUCAAAAACGAAGGUCCACCGUAGCAAGUCGUAGAGGUUUCGUUAUUUGUUCAUGCGUGUGAGGGAGAUUCGGUUACAAAGAUGAAUAAUAAUGUUUUUCUUUCAAACGUUCUGUGGUUACACGAGUGAUGAAGAUGGCUGACAGAGUUUCUAGUGUCUCAGACUCUCAGUUGAAGGAAGUGGUGUUACUGUUGAGGGAUCAGCUUCUUUCCCAGAAGAGGCUGAUACAGCUCCUGUUGCUGACACAAAGGAUUGAAAAUCAAUCAUCAAAUGGAAUAUGGAUAUGAGUAAUGGGAUACCUACUCAGGGUGCACGUGGCGCUGUCAGUGACGUUGCCAUGGAAUCUGGUCAUUGGAGGGCUCAACUGCAACGUCAAAGGAUCGUGAACAAGUCAUACGUACUUAUAGUAUUUUUUUGUUUACAAAAUUUGGUUAUGCUAACUUGCUUACUUUUGCCUUUCAAGCUGCAUCAGCUUGGCCAAUUGAAACAGGUUAUCUCCACUCUCUGUUACUCACUGUUAAGGAUAAUCGUAUAAUAAACUCACUGUUACAUUUGUUCACAUUUAAGGAUAAUCGUAUAAUAAACUCACUGUUACAUUUGUGUAACCUUGAUAAAAAUGUAUUCACUGUACCAAUUUGCUUCUUCUUGACUGGCCUUCAACCGCGUUAACCCCACCCGAUCCCUCUUUAGUAAUUUGAGGAGCCCCGCUACUUAGAAUUUCCCUUUUAUCAAUACCCUUCAAUAUAAACUGCCAACAAAAUAGCAUGAUUUUAGUACAAUAACAAGUUUGAAAAAACUAAUUACUAUUUACCCUUACCAAUUCUUCUGGAAUAGGUGAAGUAAGUGCAAGUGGCUCGAGGUUUCAAACCGUGAAACCGUCCAAACCGGUCAUCGGUUUGACUUCGCGGUCGGUUUUUUACAUCUAACUUUCGGUUAGUCGGUUUCAACAAUUUCAAACCACAAUGAACGGUUUGGUUUGCGGUUUAUACCGAAAACGACUGUAUAAAACCAAACCGUACCCUAAGAGCACUAUACAUAUUUUCUAGAUAUAUCAUAUUAGGUAUUAUUAAUAUUUAUUAUUGGAUUUCUUUCAGUGAAUAUUAGUUACACCCACAACUAACUAAAGUGGACUAAAGCUCUUGAAUCAUGUGCUUAAACGAGUCAAUAAAAGGAAUGAUGUGAGGUAUUACAUCCGGAUCUAUUGCUAAACGAACGCAGUUUGUUGCGUAUUUGAUUUACUACGCUUUCUUAACCGGGUUUGUUUAACCGGUUGUGUCCAUUGGUUCUGGUUUGUUGACGGAUGGGCGGGUGAUGUUAGGUGGAUAGCGACCAUAACCGUAAGGUGCUCGGUGGUGGAACCAUGGGCUGCGAUCAUAUGUGGAUUCGUUGCUGCGUGUAUGUUGACAAGGUGUAACAAAUUGGCUGAAAAGUACAAGUACGACGACCCAUUGGAAGCCGCUCAGCUCCAUGGGGGUUGCGGGGCGUGGGGGGAUUAUAUUCACGGCCUUAUUCGCUAAGGAGAAGUAUGCUAACAAGGUUUACCCGGGGAAACCGGGUCGGCCUUACGGGCUAUUUAUGGGAGGAGGGGGGAAACUGUCGGGUGCACAUGUGGUCCAGAUUUUGGUGAUAUAUGGGUUCGUGAGUGCUACCAUGGGUCCAUUAUUUUUCAUUCUACACAAGCUUAAGUUGUACGGAUCUCGCCUGAAGAUGAAACCGCGGGUAUGGAUAUGACGAGACAUGGUGGUUUUGCGUAUGUUUACCAUGAUGAAGAUGGUAUUCCGAUGAAGAAGAUUGAAUCGGCUUCUUCAAGUUGAUUAGUAAUUAAACAUGUUUGCCGUUAUGUUUCGUCCAAAAUACUUGCUUGCUAUUGUUAUUGGUUUUGCCUAGUGGUAUUUAGACUUUGUUUACGUACAAAAUUUGAUUACAUAGUUUUUAUAGAUUGGCUGUUGUCAUGUGACUCGAUGACAAUGCUAAAUGUAAAUAUAAAUUUAGCUCCCGCGAUGCGGCGGGUUACAUUUCUAGUUUUUUUCUAAAAAUGUUCACACGUUUUUUUA